AUCCAGCUGCUCCAGGCGGGGCAGGCGCAGCGCGGCGAGUGGCAGGCGGCUCAGCGCGUUGCCUACCAAGCCCAGCAGGCGAAGCUCGGCCAGGGGGGCCAGAGCGGCGUCCAGUGCAUCCAGCAUCCCGGGGCUGCCUCGAGCCAGCGCGUGAUUGAGCUGUAGUGAGCGCAGCGCAGGCAGCCCGCGAAAGGCGCGGUAGCCCAGGGCGCGUAGCGGGUUGUGGCUUAGGUCGAGUGCCGCCAGGCUGGGCAACCCGUCGAAGGCACCGUCCUCUACUACCUCGAUGUUGUUGUGUGUGAGGCGCAGCGCGGCAGCUUCUUUCCUCCUCCCUCCGAAGCACACGUGGGGCGGGGCCCUCAGGGCUGACCUGGCAGGUGGAUCUGUGCACCCAGAGAAGAAUUGAGAAGCUCAAGACCUGAUUUAAAGAGACAGACUCCAGAGGAGGGAGCAUUCCUGGUCUUGGCAUGAAUUAUUCAGGUUGGAGAAGCUGACAUUUGAUCUGCAGGCCAUUCGAGUAUCUUACUUGGCAGAGCUGGUUGGGAUAGAGGCUCCCCUCCUCCCCAUAAGCAUCAGUCAGUCUCUUUCUCCUGAACUGAAGACUACUGGUUGGUUUCUUCCCUGAAGUUGCAUUUAGAAGAUCGACCAGCAAAUUGAAACCACUUUCUGAGGCAUAUCCUGCAUUCCCUGGGUCUCAGGCAAAUACCAACACUAAGGACCAGGCUGGUGAUCUUGCUGGACUCCCUCAGCUCAUAUUGACCUAGUCCUGUCUCCAUGAUAACCUCCAGAUGCUAGCAGAUGACAGUAGUAGCUUUUAGAGCUGGACAUGUCUGUAUACAUGGCCACCUGAGUUUACACACGUGUGCCUCUACACAAAAAGGCAAACUUUACACAAACAGACUUACACAUGCCCAUGUGUGGUCUAUCAAAUUUAUUCUUACUUGGAUGUGCAUGCAUGUGCACGGGAGGCUUGCACACAGCAGUUCCAAACAAAUGUGUCUCACAUAGACACAUGCAGGCACAUUCGUGCCUGUGUACAUAGCGGCUUUGAGUGUAACCUGGUAUGUGUCCAUAGAGUCAGAAGCAUACCAAAGUGCUUGAGUGUUCACUCACUGGGCCAACACAGGUUCAACUGCAGCCUUAGAGGGGCAGCUUGCAGACUCUUGUGAAAGUGAAUGCGUACAGACGGGGCCCUCUCCUGCUCUGGACUAUGUCCUUGGCCUUUGGAGGUCACAGGUACCUUUUCUCAUACAGCACAAGUGCUCAAAUCAUGAGUGACCAGAACAGCCUGCUUCCCCCACUUAACUGCAUGGAGACCUGCCUCCAGUCCCUACGGAAGUGUAGACCACUGCCAAGGCCAAAACUCCCUCUCCGGUUUUCAUGGUGGCUGCCUUCUCAUUGCUGCUGACUGCCUUCUCCGAGGGAGAGGGGUUACAUAGUUGCAGGCAGCUUUCAUUGACUGGUGUUAAACACCUCAGCUGGGGAAGAGAAGCUUAAGAAGAACGGACAUCAUUAGGCAAGGGGAGUCGUGUUCUCUGUGUUGUAUGAAUGAGGGAAUUGUUGUGUUCUCUGGAAGAAGGGCUCUCUCCCUUCGGGAGUUGCCAGUGUAUUAUGUCCAGUAGGUAUUUCAAUAAAUGUCUGUCUGUUUGAUGCU
rnacentral:lncRNA from 1 species